AAAGCAUUGUGAGGGCAUUUCCUAAGUAUCUCCUUAAAUCUCUCCUCACUUUCAUAAAUAGAUUCUCCUUUAAACUGGGCAAAAGAAGUGACAUCAUUUUUAAGUUU